GAUGAACGCUGGCGGCGUGCUUAACACAUGCAAGUCGAACGAUGAAGCCCAGCUUGCUGGGUGGAUUAGUGGCGAACGGGUGAGUAACACGUGAGCAACCUGCCCCUGACUCUGGGAUAAGCGCUGGAAACGGCGUCUAAUACUGGAUAUGUCCCGUCACCGCAUGGUGUGCGGGUGGAAAGAUUUUUCGGUUGGGGAUGGGCUCGCGGCCUAUCAGCUUGUUGGUGAGGUAAUGGCUCACCAAGGCGUCGACGGGUAGCCGGCCUGGGAGGGUGACCGGCCACACUGGGACUGAGACACGGCCCAGACUCCUACGGGAGGCAGCAGUGGGGAAUAUUGCACAAUGGGCGGAAGCCUGAUGCAGCAACGCCGCGUGAGGGAUGACGGCCUUCGGGUUGUAAACCUCUUUUAGCAGGGAAGAAGCGAAAGUGACGGUACCUGCAGAAAAAGCACCGGCUAACUACGUG
rnacentral:rRNA from 1 species